rnacentral:lncRNA from 1 species
CUUUUCCUCGAACAUCUUAUGGUAGGGGCAAUGCUAGUCCCUGGGAGUACAAGGCAGAGCCCAGCAUACCCUUAGUAGGGUCCAGUCUUCCUAAGAAUGGCGGGGAAGGGGACGUGAAGGGCACUGACAUUCACUGAAUGCCUGGCAAACCUCUGGAGACAGAUAGCAGUCGUCUUGCCUUUCACGCACACACGGAAUCCCCCAAACUUAAAGAACUCAAGCAAGAGUUCAUCGAGUCUC